CCAGCAACGCCGCGUGAAUGAAGAAGGUUUUCGGAUUGUAAAGUUCUUUUAUUGGGGAAGAAAAAAAUGACGGUACCCAAUGAAUAAGCCCCGGCUAACUUCGUGCCAGCAGCCGCGGUAAUACGAAGGGGGCAAGCGUUGUCCGGAAUGACUGGGCGUAAAGGGUGUGUAGGCGGCUUUGUGCGUCGUAUGUGAAAUCUUGGGGCUCAACCCCAAAACUGCAUACGAUACGGCAGAGCUUGAAUGUGGGAGAGGUUCGUGGAAUUUGUGGUGUAGCGGUAGAAUGCGUAGAUAUCACAAGGAACAUCAGAGGCGAAGGCGGCGAACUGGACCAUUAUUGACGCUGAGACACGAAAGCGUGGGGAGCAAACAGGAUUAGAUACCCUGGUAGUCCACGCCCUAAACGAUGCUUACUAAACGUGGCGGGUAUCGACUCCCGCCGUGUUGUAGCUAACGCGAUAAGUAAGCCGCCUGUGUAGUACGGCCGCAAGGUUGAAACACAAAGAAAUUGACGGGGACCCGCACAAGCAGCGGAGCAUGUGGUUUAAUUCGAAGAUACGCGAAAAACCUUACCAGGACUUGACAUCCCUUGCAUAGCCGGGAAACCGGUGAAAGUUUAGCAAUAUUCCAAGGUGACAGAUGGUGCAUGGUUGUCGUCAGCUCGUGUCGUGAGAUGUUCGGUUAAGUCCGUCAACGAGCGCAACCCCUGCUUUCAGUUGCCAGCAUUAAGUUGGGCACUCUGGAGGGACUGCCGUAGUUAAUACGGAGGAAGGUGGGGAUGACGUCAAAUCAUCAUGCCUCUUACGUUCUGGGCUACACACGUGCUACAAUGGUGACCACAAACAGUUGCAAAAUAGUAAUAUCGAGCCAAUCUGAAAAAAGUCAUCUCAAUUCGGAUUGUGGGCUGAAACUCGCCCACAUGAAGUCGGAGUUGCUAGUAAUCGUGAAUCAGCACGUCACGGUGAAUGCGUUCCCGGGUCUUGUACACACCGCCCGCCAAGCUAUGGGAGUUGGGAGCAUCCAAAGCCGCUGAGUUAACCGCGAGGGGACAGGCGUCUAAGGUGAGACCAGUGACUGGAGUUAAGGCGUAACAAGGUAGCCGUAGGAGAACCUGCGGCUGGAUCACCUCCUUU
rnacentral:rRNA from 1 species